rnacentral:rRNA from 1 species
GACGAACGCUGGCGGCGUGCUUAACACAUGCAAGUCGAACGAAGUGGCGAACGGGUGAGUAACGCGUAAUCAACCUGCCCUUCAGAGGGGGACAAAAGUUGGAAACGACUGCUAAUACCGCAUACUGAAGGAGGGGAUUGCGUGGGAUUAGCUGGUUGGGUGGGUAACGGCCCACCAAGGCGAUGAGCAGUAGCCGGUCUUGGAGGAUGAACGGCCACAUUGGGACUGGUACACUGCCCAGACUCCUACGGGAGGCAGCCGUGGGGAAUCUUUCGCAAUGGGCGAAAGUCUGACGGAGCAACGCCGCGUGGUUGAUGACGGCCUUCGGGUUGUAAAGCUCUGUUAAUCGGGACGCGGUACCGGAAUAGAAAGCCACGGCUAACUACGUGCCAGCAGCCGCGGUAAUAC